rnacentral:rRNA from 1 species
UACGUAGGGUGCAAGCGUUAAUCGGAAUUACUGGGCGUAAAGCGUGCGCAGGCGGUUGUGUAAGACAGAUGUGAAAUCCCCGGGCUCAACCUGGGAACUGCAUUUGUGACUGCACAGCUGGAGUGCGGCAGGGGGAUGGAAUUCCGCGUGUAGCAGUGAAAUGCGUAGAUAUGCGGAGGAACACCGAUGGCGAAGGCAAUCCCCUGGGCCUGCACUGACGCUCAUGCACGAAAGCGUGGGGAGCAAACAGG